UGAUGAUGCUGAAGCUUUGGCAUAAAGUUUCAGCCUUGGGUAUAUUUAUAGGAAUUCCAUCCUCGUGUCAUGUUGUGGGAAAGCCUGGGAGCUAUUUUUGAUGUAACACUUUCCUUUGGAUGUCACAAUUAUCUCUGCAUUCAAGAGGCCACUUUCCAAUCUACUGAUGGAGUACUUGUUUUUCAUUUUUUUGCUCUAUGAUUAUUAGUUGUCAGUUAAAUCCCGUCUGUCUCUUUGCGGUCAUGAAGCACCCCCUCUCUCAAGAUGCAAGACACCACUUGUGCCAGCAGGAACCCUGCUGAGAUGGUGAACUUUCUUUUCAACUGACAUAUACUCAGAAGAGAUUUUCAGGAGAGUCCCUCCUUAUGCAUUUUGAGCACCCUGCGUUCCAUAAUAUUGGCAACUGCUGUGUUAUCUCCUUAUAAUAGUGAGUACUCAGAGCAGUACACAGAAGUCUGAUUAACAAUUUGUGACUGACAGGAGAGACCCCCAUCUUACUAUUCCAACUGCAGAAAAGGGCUUGUUUUCCUCAAACAUCCAAAGGUAAAGUAGUUACGUCAUUUCAUGUGUUUUUUGUGCUGCCAAAUUUGGGACAGAAAUAUUUCACCCUAGGAUUCAAGUGACUUUUUUUUAUUAUGUUUUCUGAACUUAUAUUGGAAACCCAGAAGUUGGCCAACACAUGCUAGGAAGGGUCAGUUACUGGGGAAAGAAACUAUGCAUUUUCUUUACUUUAGUGCAUUUAAAAUUUCUUGUUGUAACUUUGCUUUCUUCUUGCAUUUAAAUACUAUGUGUGUUUUGUUGAAUUCAGAUGUGAUCUAUGAAGUGUACCUUGGCAAAGCUGAGUGUGCACAAUUUUUAGUACUUCACUGAAGCAGCACCAUGAGCAUUGUGGUUUCUGUACU